UACAGAGGUGGCAAGCGUUGUUCGGAAUUACUGGGCGUAAAGGGCGCGUAGGCGGCCUUCUUAGUCAGACGUGAAAUCCCCGGGCUUAACUCGGGAACUGCGUCUGAUACUGGAAGGCUCGAGUUCGGGAGAGGAAUGUGGAAUUCCAGGUGUAGCGGUGAAAUGCGUAGAUAUCUGGAGGAACACCGGUGGCGAAGGCGGCAUUCUGGACCGAAACUGACGCUGAUGCGCGAAAGCCAGGGGAGCAAACGGG
rnacentral:rRNA from 1 species